UACGGGGGGGCAAGCGUUGUUCGGAAUUACUGGGCGUAAAGGGCUCGUAGGUGGCCAACUAAGUCAGACGUGAAAUCCCUCGGCUUAACCGGGGAACUGCGUCUGAUACUGGAUGGCUUGAGGUUGGGAGAGGGAUGCGGAAUUCCAGGUGUAGCGGAUGAAAUGCGUAGAUAUCUGGAGGAACACCGGUGGCGAAGGCGGCAUCCUGGACCAAUUCUGACGCUGAGGAGCGAAAGCCAGGGGAGCAAACGGG
rnacentral:rRNA from 1 species